UACGUAGGCAGCAAGCGUUGUUCGGAGUUACUGGGCGUAAAGGGUGUGUAGGCGGUUCUUUAAGUUUGCUGUGAAAUCUCCCGGCUUAACCGGGAGGGUGCGGUGAAUACUGAGGGACUAGAGUACGGGAGAGGAAAGUGGAAUUCCUGGUGUAGCGGUGAAAUGCGUAGAUAUCAGGAGGAACACCGGUGGUGUAGACGGCUUUCUGGACCGUAACUGACGCUGAGGAACGAAAGCUAGGGGAGCGAAUGGG
rnacentral:rRNA from 1 species